GAAUUACUUUAUUGAAACUUCGGUCGAUUUAAUUUAAUUCUAGUGGCGGACGGGUGAGUAACGCGUGGGUAACCUGCCUUAUACAGGGGGAUAACAGUCAGAAAUGGCUGCUAAUACCGCAUAAGCGCACAGAGCUGCAUGGCUCAGUGUGAAAAACUCCGGUGGUAUAAGAUGGACCCGCGUUGGAUUAGCUUGUUGGUGGGGUAACGGCCCACCAAGGCGACGAUCCAUAGCCGGCCUGAGAGGGUGAACGGCCACAUUGGGACUGAGACACGGCCCAGACUCCUACGGGAGGCAGCAGUGGGGAAUAUUGCACAAUGGGGGAAACCCUGAUGCAGCGACGCCGCGUGAAGGAAGAAGUAUCUCGGUAUGUAAACUUCUAUCAGCAGGGAAGAUAGUGACGGUACCUGACUAAGAAGCCCCGGCUAACUACGUGCCAGCAGCCGCGGUAAUACGUAGGGGGCAAGCGUUAUCCGGAUUUACUGGGUGUAAAGGGAGCGUAGACGGUGUGGCAAGUCUGAUGUGAAAGGCAUGGGCUCAAGCCUGUGGACUGCAUUGGAAACUGUCAUACUUGAGUGCCGGAGGGGUAAGCGGAAUUCCUAGUGUAGCGGUGAAAUGCGUAGAUAUUAGGAGGAACACCAGUGGCGAAGG
rnacentral:rRNA from 1 species